GAAAGUAAGCAAGGGCAGACGGUGGAUGCCUUGGCUCUCGGAGGCGACGAAGGACGUGAUAAGCUGCGAAAAGCCCGGGGGAGGCGCAAAUAGCCCUUGAUCCCGGGAUAUCCGAAUGGGGCAACCCGGCAGGUUGAAGGCCUGUCAUCCCGAAAGGGAGGCGAACGUGGGGAACUGAAACAUCUAAGUACCCAUAGGAGGAGAAAAUAAACAAUGAUUCCGUAAGUAGUGGCGAGCGAACACGGAAGAGCCCAAACCCGUGCCGUCUAGGCGACACGGGGGUUGUAGGACCACGACGUGGCAAGAAGGAAGGGAAAUGGAACGACUUGGAAAAGUCGGCCAUAGACGGUGAAAGCCCGGUACAUGACUCCCUUACGAAGCCUAGUGGUAUCCUGAGUAGCGCGGGGCACGAGAAAUCUUGCGUGAAUUAGCGGGGCCCAUCCCGUAAGGCUAAAUACUCCCGAGAGACCGAUAGCGAACCAGUACCGUGAGGGAAAGGUGAAAAGAACCCCGAGCAGGGGAGUGAAAUAGACCCUGAACCCGUCUGCCUACAAGCGGUCGGAGCGUCGUAAUGACGUGACGGCGUGCCUUUUGCAUAAUGAACCUACGAGUUACCUUCCCCGGCAAGGUUAAGUACCUAAGGUACGGAGCCGAAGCGAAAGCGAGUCUGAACAGGGCGCCAAGUCGGGGGGGGUAGACGCGAAACCGAGUGAUCUACCCUUGGCCAGGUUGAAGGUUGGGUAACACCAACUGGAGGACCGGAUGGGUAAGCGUUGAAAAGCUUUCCAAUGAGCUGAGGGUAGGGGUGAAAGGCUAAUCAAACUCGGAGAUAGCUCGUACUCCCCGAAAUGCAUUUAGGUGCAGCCUCUUUAUAGUAUAUCGUGAGGUAGAGCGACUGAUUGGAUGCGAGGGCUUCACCGCCUAUCAAGUCCAGAUAAACUCCGAAUGCGCGAUAUAUAUUUACAGGGAGUGAGGGCGCGGGUGCUAAGGUCCGUGUCCGAGAGGAGAAGAAUCCAGACCACCGGCUAAGGCCCCCAAAUGAUCGUUAAGUUGAACUAACGAGGUCGGAUCGCAGAGACAGCUAGGAUGUUGGCUUGGAAGCAGCCAUUCAUUUAAAGAGUGCGUAACAGCUCACUAGUCGAGCGAUCUGGCGUGGAUAAUAAUCGGGCAUAAACGAUCUGCCGAAGCCGUGGAUGUCGCAAGACAUGGUAGGGGAGCAUUCCAUGCGGCGUCGAAGAUGAGGGAUGACCCUUGUUGGAGCGCAUGGAAAAGCAAAUGUAGGUAUGAGUAACGAUAAGGGGGGCGAGAAACCCCCCCGCCGAAAGACCAAGGUUUCCUGAUCAACGCUAAUCGGAUCAGGGUGAGUCGGGACCUAAGGCAAAGCCGAACGGCGCCGCCGAUGGAAGAAUGGGUUAAUAUUCCCAUACUGCCUCAUGGAGUGACGUGGAGACGGAGAAGUGACAGUCCUGCCGGCUGACGGAAUAGCCGGUUGAAGGGUGUAGGUGUCGAUCGCGGUAGGCAAAUCCGCCGCGAGAGCCGAACCUGACAGUAUACGGAGCGCUUGCGCAACGUAAUAUGGACGUAACCAUGCUCCCAAGAAAAUCCGCUAAACUUAUCCAUGCGGCACCCGUACCGUAAACGGACACACGUGGUCGGGUUGAGAAUACUGAGGCGCUCGAGUGAUUCACGGUUAAGGAACUAGGCAAAUUGACCCUGUAACUUCGGGAUAAAGGGUCCUCGUCGUAAGGCGAGGCGCAGAGAAUAGGUCCAGGCAACUGUUUAACAAAAACACAUGGCUGUGCUAAAUGGAAACAUGAUGUAUACAGCCUGACACCUGCCCGGUGCCGGAAGGUUAAGAGGAGAUGUCAUCCGCGAGGAGAAGCGUUGAAUUGAAGCCCCGGUAAACGGCGGCCGUAACUAUAACGGUCCUAAGGUAGCGAAAUUCCUUGUCGGGUAAGUUCCGACCUGCACGAAUGG
rnacentral:rRNA from 1 species